rnacentral:lncRNA from 1 species
UCCUGCAAGAGGCUCUGGUGCUUGAACCUGGCCCUGGCCUCCUCCCCACCUGGGAACGAAGCGGAGGAUGGAGCGGACUCCAUGGCAACCCACCUCACCCUCUUCAUCUCCACCCUCAAAUCUCAAGAGAAACAAGGAGAGAGAGAGGGAGAGACAAAAAAAAGAUGAAGAGACCAAGAGAGAGAGAGAGAGAGAGNGGUAAAAACAGUACCCAAGAUCUCACCUUUAGCAACUCCACAUAAUCCUGCAAGAGGCUCUGGUGCUUGAACCUGGCCCUGGCCUCCUCCCCACCUGGGAACGAAGCGGAGGAUGGAGCGGACUCCAUGGCAACCCACCUCACCCUCUUCAUCUCCACCCUCAAAUCUCAAGAGAAACAAGGAGAGAGAGAGGGAGAGACAAAAAAAAGAUGAAGAGACCAAGAGAGAGAGAGAGAGAGAGGGAGAGAGGGGGGCAAUAAAAAGGCCACCUUGUGAAGGGGGUGGUGAGAUAAUGGAGGAAAUAAAGGUGGGGGUGGGGGGGGGAGGUGAGGAGUUCCCUUGCCCACCACCCCCCCCCCUUCUCUCUCUCUCUCUCUCUCUCUCUCUCUCUCUGACCCUGACCCAAGAAAAACCCAAAAAGCCCCAUAUUAAUCAGGUACAGGAAACUGGGUAGUAGUAGUAGGAGUAGGAGUAGUAGUCCUGGGUUAGAGAGAGAGAGAGAGAGAGAGAGAGAGUGAGUGUUUGUUGUGUGUGUCUCUGUUUCUCUCCUCCUAGGUGAAGAGGAGAGGGGGUGAAGAGUUUUCUGGGUCUCCAGGGGGGCAUUUCUGGGAACUUGCGCAGUAGUUUUGUAGAGAGAGAGAGAGAGAGAGAGAGAGAGAGAGAGGUUUGGUUGGGUGAUGAUGCAUGACUACUGAAGACACCUACAUCCAUCUUUCUUUCUUUCCAUAUACCUCCCUCUUUCCUUGUAUUUCUCCAUACACACACACACUCUCUCUCUCUCUCUCUCUCUCCCUCUUUCCCCAACACAGACCACAAUUAGUCUCCCCCUUCACAUUUCUAUGCACAAACUCCUGGUCCAUGUAGAAAAAAGAUUGGUCAGUAAUAAAGAGAUGUAGAGAGAGAGAGAGAGAGAGAGAGAGAGAGAGAGGGGUUGGACAUGGACUCCACCUUGGAGGGUAGGGAUUCUCUCUCUCUCUAUCUCUCUCUCUCUCUCUCUCUCUCUCUCUUUUUCUUUAUUCCUCACCAGUCACUCACCUCCCUCCUUUCUCUCUCUCCAGUCUCACCUAUUCCUUGGCUGUCUGCUUUAGAGAGAGAAAGAGACAGAUAGAUGUGUUUUUAGAGAGAGAGAGAGAGAGAGAGUGUGUGUGUGUGUGUUUGUGUGUAUAGGGGGGUUAUUUUGAAUGGCUGCUAUGGUCUUCUGAUGUUGCAGUUGUUGUUGCUGUUGUUGUUGUUGUUGCCUUGCAGCUUGCAAGGAGGCCCUUAUAAUAGUGGGAGAUGGUGGUGGGAGGGGUCUAUUUUUCCAUUCAUUAAUUGAUAGCUGAAUUUACCAAAAUGCCCCUCGCUUUUUUGUCCCCCAAUGGCUACUUCUUCUUUAUUAUUAUUAUUAUUAUUAUUAUUAUUAAUGCCCUACUUGCCUCAUUACUAGAUUAAAAUGCCUUUACCUUUCUUGCAAUGUAAAGAAGUUCCAGGGAAUGGACUUCUUCCACUCCUUCCCCUUGUUGACAUGGCAAAGUUUUAUGCCUUCCCUGCUGCAAGUCAUCUGGUUUCAUCUGUCACAUUUGUCAAACCUACUGUUCACCCCCCCCAAAAAACAACAAGCUUUAAAAAUAUGCAUUUAUUUUUUACUUUUUAAUAAUUUGUUUUUUUUUAAAAAAAAAACCCUCCUUUGAACAAGAAUUCCAUGCACAGCAAACCUAGGCAUGAAUUUUCUACAUACUUCAUGUGUGACCUCCUCUUUGUUUUUAUAUUUUUUUUUAACUUUAAAUUUCAAAUACACUGAUGAGAGACUGACAUGGUGGAUUGGAUUAGAUCUGGGCACUAAUUUCUACAACAAUGGUGGGGUUCUUCUUGCAUGUGUUUGAUCUAUUCCACAAUUCACAUUAGGCCUAGUAAGGAAUCUUGUGUGGUGAAAUUGUCUAUAUGGGUCCUUUUUAUUGGAAUGGACCACCAAAGAUGGGGAUAAUAGUUGUCAUCUAGUCAUGCUGUGACUGCCUAAGAAAAAAGAUGGGAAUGGGCCCAUGACACUGUUGGAAUUAUUAUUAUUGUCAUAAUUCAUCAAUUUACAUUAUUUGUUUUUUUUUAUUUCCCUAGUUUUCUAGAAACCUCUUGUGCAUAAUGGUAAUAAUAAUAACAUUCAAAAAUUACUAGUAGGUGUCUAUCUUAGGCUUCGUUUGAGAUUGCGGGACGGUGAGAAAGUAUGAUGAAAAAAUAUCCUACUUGUUUCCGUAUGUAAUAUUGCAUUCCGCAUAUCACAAUGAGUUAGUUACAAUAUAUUUUCUACAGUCUAAUCGAAGAACACAGAAGUAUAUCGCUAUAUGUUUUUAUCCCAAUUUCAUCAAAGCGCUCUUUGAAGAAGCACAUGGCUAUUCGAAUAAGCAUUUACAAUUUCUGGAUUAAAUUUUUUUUUCGACAUAUUUCAUUUAAGUAGGCAUUAGAGUUCGCUUUUGAGCUUGAUUAGAAACUUGAUUUAGCUUUUUAUCAAAGUAAAAAUUAUGAAUAUUUAUUAGCUAAUGUUAUUAAGAAAUCCAGGCAUAAAGUAGCCCUGGGGCACAAACCAGAGUUUGUUAUGUCAAGCCCAUCUUGGGCUAUAUUGUGCAAAUAUGGGUUUGGGCUAAUAUUGUUGGGCUCGAUCCAACCGAUUACCUAAAAGUCGGCACAGUAUUUCAUUCGUAAGAGAAGCCAACGCCGCAUAAUCCGGCGACGUAUUUCACUCGUAACAGAAUCCAGCGCCGAGUUUUACAUAACUCAAACAGUUAACCAAAGUCAGCGGCGAAUUUCACUCAUAGCAAAAUCCAACGCCGCUAUUUUAUAUUUACUCUCUUAACUCUCCCACAACCUCACCAUUCCCCCUUCCAUGGCGAUGGCGAUGGCGAUCGCGGCGAUCGUAUCCCGAAGCCGAGCUCUCCUCCCCCUUCUCCUUUCCCCUUCUCCUCUUCCUCCUCCUCUCAAUCUCCUCCACCUCCCCUUUUCCUCCUCUUCCUCUUCCUCUUCCUCUUCCUCCUCCUCCGCCCCUUCUCCCUCUUUCCCCUUCAAACCCACCAUCCCCACCUCCCCCGACCCCGAAACCAGCGACUUCGAGCGCGAGCCCGACGACGCCCCCUCCGACCCCGACGGCUCCGACCUCCCCGAGUUCCUCCAACUCCUAUCCCACGCCAAAUCCCUCUCCUCCUCGCACAAGGACGCGCUUGCCCUACUGCGGUCCUCGUCGGGCGUGGAGCGAUCUAGGGCUUUGGUCCGCCGCGCCCUGUGGGACCUGAGGUGGGAUUGGGAGUCGGCGAUGCUGGCUCUGCGGUGGGGGGAGGAGUGUGUGUUGGACUGCCCCGCGGCGUGGCACCUGGCGAUAUGGGCGAUGGGUAAGCAGGGGAGGUUCGACAUGGCGUGGUCCGUGGUGCGGAGGAUGCACAAGAGGUCCAUCCUUACGCAGCGGGCGAUGGUGAUCAUGAUGGAAAGGUGAAUGCUGUUCUAGUUUUUGAGCAUCGUAGUAAAUUGGGCAUUUAUCAAAGGAAUAAUCUUUCUUCUACUUGGAUAUGUUCUCACUUCAUUGUUAUGCUAAAUGCUUCAAUUAGUAUAUGAAAUAGUUCUAUGUGAUUCAUAGUUAUCAUGUGCGUGGUGGUGGGAGUUAUACUCAAAGCUGUGACUACUAAACUUUGAAACAAAACGGUAGAUCAUGAUAUAGUGAUUAUGAUGGACUAGUGAUUGCUUUACUAGGUUUCAGCAUGGUAGUAAAUUGGUUAUUUACAAAAAAGUAUUGCAUUUUUUAAAAAUUUUGGAUAUGUUCUGUCACCGUAGUUAUGGCUGCUUUCUUCAACUCGUAUAUGGAGUUCUCUCUUUGAUUCAUAGUUAACAUGUGAAAAGUGGGACUUUUGAAGUUAUAGUGUAUAUAUACAAGUCUACAUUACAACAAGAAAAAAAAAUGGUGUUAGGAAUCACUCUCGAAUGCUUAUGUUUCUCGGGACUACUUAAAUGUUGAAACAAAAGAAUUGAGAGCAUCUGAAGGUAUCUCUUCAUGGUCCAUUUCUGAUUGAAGUAGAGAGAUUAAACUUCUGCCUUGUUUUUAUUAGCACAGCUCAAAAUUAAGUAGUUCUCUAAAUAGGGUGCAAUUCUUUUCUGUGCCUUGCAAUAUCUGAAUUUUUCAUUAUCUGUAGGUUUGAAAAACUUUUUCUCGUUAAAUCGUCUUUUCAUCAGAAGCAGCUGCCAAAUUUGGCUUUAUAUGUAUCCCAUUUAGUGAUCUUUUCUACUUUCUUUUCCUCAUUGUUGCCAGAUAAACAGUUUUUUUCUGGGAAACUUUGAAUUUAUAUGCUUUUAUUCAUACGGAGGUAUCUCCUGCGAAAUUUCAGGUAUGCAGCUGCUAAUGAACCUGGAAAAGCAACAAAAACAUUCCAUGCAAUGGAGAAGUUUAAAAUAAGCGCUGACUUAACCGCAUUUUACUCCCUCCUUCGUGCUCUUUGCAAGAACAAGAAUGUUGAGGAGGCCGAAGAAUUGCUUCUUGUCAAUAAGAAAUUUUUCCCUCUCUCUGCAGAAAGUUUCAAUAUAAUACUCGACGGAUGGUGUAAUAUAAUGACAGAUAUAACUGAAGCAAAGAGAGUUUGGAGAGAGACGGCAAGUUGCUGCAUCACCCCAGAUGGUACUUCUUACACCCAUAUGAUUCGUUGCUUCUCAAAAGUUGGCAACCUCUUCGAUUCCUUAAGGCUUUAUGACGAAAUGAAAAAGAGAGGCUGGACUCCUGAUUUGACGGUCUACAAUUCUCUUGUUUAUGUGCUAACUGGAGAAAAUUGCUUGAAGGAUGCGCAAAAUAUAUUCAGUAAAAUUUUGGAUGAGGGACUGCGACCAACUGUAGAAACAUUCAAUUGUAUGAUAUAUCCACUGUGUGAAAGUCACAAGCUGGAGGAAGCGCAAAUGGUAAUGGAGGACAUGAUGGUGAAGGGCAUCAGUCCGGACAUCGAAACUUACCAUGCCUUCAUAAAGGAAGAGGGUAUUGACGAGACAUUGAAAAUAUUGAGAAGAAUGAGAGAUGCUCAUUGUGGCCCUAGUAAAUAUACAUUUCUUUUGCUUUUUGAUAAGUAUUUUGGAUUGAACGAAUCUGAAAAUGCAUUAAGAAUGUGGAGCGAAAUGAGGAAAUAUGGGAUUGAUCCCGACUCCUCACACUACAUUGCAUUGGUGGAAGGUUUGGUGAAACAUGGAUGGAUGCCGAAAGCUCUACAGUUUUACAAUGAGAUGAAGGACAGGGGGUUUAUUCCUGAUCCUAAACUUGAGAAAGUCUUUAAGGAAUUCAUAGAAAAUAAUAAAGAUCACUGGGGAAGAGUUGGUAAAGAUUACAUCAUUUCACAGCAUGGAAAACAUAAUGCUCUAAGAGGAGCAGCAGUUUAAUGACCGGUCGGGUAGAUUAGUUUUCUUAUGAGCACUUCUUGUGAUUGGUCUAUUUGGGGGCAUCAUAUAAAAGAGAGGAUGAAACGAAAAACUGUUGGUUUAGAGGGGAAAUGUCAAGUUGCCGUGAAUCAGAAUGCAUCCUUGCUGCUAUCUGAAACAUUCCAGUGUGGAAAAAGAUUUCCACAGUAAUUCUAAGGUACAUAUGCAUACUUUCGGAUCAUCUUACUUGUAUUAAUGGGUUGUUUAAAGUAUGAUAAAAACUUAUAUAGGUUCUUUCCAUAUUUUUCACAUUUUGAACAUCAUGUUGAGUUUCCAUUUGUACAUUAUGUCACAGUCGUUUAUAAUCUGUUUUAAGGAUGCUUAAAAGCGGACAUGCUCUUUACAUUUGAAAUUUGAGAUAAUUUCAUUAUGUUUAUCUUUUCUUCCAAGCUAUCUUUCAUUACUGUGAUAUAUCAUUAGAUUCGUACCACUUAGGCGAAAAAGGAAUAAUCAAGUUAUUAUUGUUUCAAGUCUAGAUAGAGUAAGUUUCAUAUGGUUUGCAGGGUCUUAUUAGUCUUAAAUGUUCAUGUCUUAUAUAUUUGCCUGAUUGUUGUCUUGUAUAACUUGGUAACAGGAUCAGAUUAACCUUGACUUGAUUAGUAAAUUGAUACCAAAUCUCUCAUAUUGGGUGAUGCAUGUAUCUAGCAAUGUACUAGAACCAAAUAGCAAACUUUGUUGCCGUAAAUUUCACCUGCAUUGUUUUUCUUUUCUUGCUGAAUUAUCUUAUAUUAAUUCUUGAUUGGGAUUUUGGUUCUCUCUUUCAGUUCAAGAAAGUAGCAACUUUGAUUAAACCCAAUUUUCUCCCUGCAUAUUAUGACUUUUUUUUAAAAAAAUUCAUCAACAGGUUGAGUUGAUGAACAUAAUUGAUGAUGAUCUUUUGGCCUUCAUACAAAAUGCUCAUGGUGCUGAAUCACAUGGAGUUUUCUGUGGUUUUUCGAGGCUAUUGGGCAUUUUAAGGAACCAGAAACAAUGAGAUCUAUCACUUAAACUUGUACAGCUUUGCUGCUGAUCAAGAAACACAGGUAAAGGCUUUUAACGAAAUAAUGUUUAUGAUGUGAGUGCAGCACGAGGUAAAUCGUGUUAUUGUGGACAAGGUUUUAAAUACCCGUCGGUACGGACUGUAUCCACGUAUCGUACCGUGCCAACAAGAUACCUAUACGAUACAGAUUACGUGCCGAUGGCACAGCUCAAAAUUUUCUAUUCUUUAAAUUAGUGAGUGAUUUUCUCAAUAAAGUUCAAAAGAUGUGAUAAAAAGACAUAAUAAAUUGUUAGAAUAUUUUGUUGCUAAAGAAAAUAAAUAUUUCAUGCUAUUAUGUGUCGGCACACAAAAUUUUUUUUGACCGGCACUCAUCGGCACGGUUCGACACGCACCGUGUCGUACCGUACCGACAAGUUUCCUGCAUGAUUCCGUACUACGGCAUUUAAAUUCUUGAUUGUGGACAUAAAAUUCUUCGUAUGAUCAUCAAGUUCUAAUUAUUUCACUAAUAAUGAGAUAAUCCCCUUUUGAAUAAUUGAAUUGAAUGAAUCUGAAAGUUUAGAUGAUUAUGUUGUGGGUCAACAACCUUUUUUAAGUUCUUUUUUCAUCCUUUGUUUAGAAAUGUGCUAUUUAUACACUCUUUUUGAAAUGCAAAUCAUACGUUCCAUCUUUUUAUAUACAAAUUUUUUCAGGACUCAAAUCAAUGUAACUAGUAAAAAAAUGUUACCAUUUUUACCUACUUUAACGAAUAUGAGUAGCAUUGCUUGUUUGCUUUUUUUUUUUUUUUUUUUAUAAUUACACGAGUUAUUCCUUCUCUGAAUUAGGUAAAAUUUAUGCCCAACUUUUUUUAUUAUAUUUUAUCUACGUAGAUAGAGAAAUGUAGAUCUAUGGACACCUCGUUUAUACUCAUUUCCAUCUACAAACACGUGGCACGCGUUAAAGUGGUCGACCACGUACGUGUUCCCAUCUCCAUGCACGCGCUCCUCUCCACGUGCCACCUCACCUCCCUUCACCAUUUCACUUUACAAACCAGUUUUUUUUGGCUAAAAAAAUAACAUAAAAAAGGAAACAGCACAGCAGCAGCUGCACUUAGAAAAGACCAGCAGUAGUGCCUGUAGUAGCAGCAGUAGAAGAAGAUCAUCAAAUAGAUACAGGAAAAGGCAAUACAUGCACGCUGAGAGAAUAUGAGUAAGGAGGAGUGGCGUCGUAACGCUGACACGCACAAGAUGAGCUCUGAGGAGGUGAAGGCGGCGGGGGUGGAGGCGUCGAAGCGGCCGCCCCACCCGGGCCAGAAGCCCGGGGAGGUGCUGCACCAGCGUCGGGCCCUGCCGUACAGUCCCGCUACGAUGGCGAUCGCUGGGUUUGCCAUCGUCGGCACCAUCGGGUACUUCACGCUCUACUACAAGUCGAAGCCCGGGACGUCGCCCACCGACGUCGUCAAGGUCACCACCACUCCUGAUUCGCUGCCCAGCAGCGCCGGCGCCGAUAAGGCGGAGACGGAGCGCAAGGGAAAGUAGGAGGUAGGUUGGGGGUUUUUUUUAAAAAAAAAGAAAUUAGAGGGAAAUAAUGGAGUUUCAUGCAUGGUUUUUGUCUAUGUAUAAUUACAAAUAAGAAUUAAUUAUGUUUCCAUUAUAAAUUCCACCCUCUUUAAGUUUUACACAAAACUUCGCUUUAGUUAAUUCUUAGUAUGUGAUGGUUGUGACGUUUGCUUAAAUAUUUAGGAAUUUGAUUUGGCUUAAUUUGCAUUUAUGUUAAGGGAUCUAUACCAUUUGGAGCAUUUAAAAAUUAAAUUUUAAAUUUUUUCGACAUUAUUAACCUAAUGAUCAAAGAAUUUUAAAAUUUAUAAUUUUAAUAAUCAAUAUGAGGCGUUUGACGGCAUAAAUAUAUUCAAAUCAAUUGAAUUUUAAUUAGAAAAUUUUUUAAAUUAUUUAAAAUAAGAUACAUACUCUUGAUCUUGAUUAUAAAAUUUUUAUCAUCACUUAUUAAAAGAUAUUUCUUGUCAGCCGUUCAUUUUUUUGUCCAUCAAUGGAUAAGAGAACAAUAUUGAAAAAGCAUCAAAAUUGGUUUUUACAUUCUUCAAGUAGUAUAGAUCAUAUUCAACGGUGCGGAUCGUUGAUUUGGAGAUUUCAUCGUUGAAAAUAAAUAAGUGACAAUAAAAUCCGUCUGCUACUAAUAGUAUUCUAGCUCAUAUAUCUCUCUCUCUCUCUCUCUCUCUCUCUCUCUCUAUAUAUAUAUAUAUAUAUAUAUAUAUANCAAAAUUGGUUUUUACAUUCUUCAAGUAGUAUAGAUCAUAUUCAACGGUGCGGAUCGUUGAUUUGGAGAUUUCAUCGUUGAAAAUAAAUAAGUGACAAUAAAAUCCGUCUGCUACUAAUAGUAUUCUAGCUCAUAUAUCUCUCUCUCUCUCUCUCUCUCUCUCUCUCUCUAUAUAUAUAUAUAUAUAUAUAUAUAUAUAUAUAUAUAUAUAUAUAUAUAUCUAACUAGAUUAGAAUACUAUUAAUAGCAUCAAAUCAUUUGUGCUAUUAGGUUUUCGACUCUUGGAUGAAAUGAUAUUAGGAUGAUAGAUUCCUAAGAUUGAGUGAGUGGUUGGUUGAAUAAUAUGAUUUAACAGGUGAAAAUUAUCGAAGAAUAGAUCUAAUGAUAGAAAAUUCAAUAGUACCAACAACUUGGUACUAUCAAAAGUAUAGCAGUCGGACUCUCUCUCUCUCUCUCUCUCUCUCUCUCUCUCUCUCUCUAUAUAUAUAUAUAUAUAUAGUUUUGCUAGAAUAUUAUCGGUAGUAAACGAUUCGAUUUACUACCGAUUUGUUUUCGAUGAUAAAGCUUCUAAAUUGACAAUCGGCACCGUUAAACAUGAUCUAAACAAUUUAAAUUAUCUGAAAAUUAAAUUUCAUGUAUUUUCAAUAUUAUUCUAUUUUCCAUCAAGUGAACAGAAAAAUGAAUGACUGAAAAUAAAUAUUCUUCAAAAAGUGAUGAUAUAAUUUCUGUAUUUACGAUCUAGAGUCUAGAUCUUGUUUUAAAUAGUUUAAAUUUUUUUUAAAAAAAAUAUAGUUGAUUUGAACUCUUUUAUAUCGUUAAACGAGCAAACGUACCAUAUCGGUCAUUAAAAUUAUAAAUUUUAUGACCUUUUGAUCGUUUAGUUAGUGAUGUCAAAAAUCAUGAAAUUUAAUUUAUAAAUAAUAUAAAUGGUCUAGAUCACGUUUAUCGAUUUGGAAGCUCUAUCAUUAAAAGUAAAUCGAUAGUAAAUCGAGCCGUUUACUAUCGAUAGUAUUCCAGUAACGCGCGCGCUCUCUCUCUCUCUCUAUAUAUAUAUAUAGUUUCAGAGACUCUCUCUCUCUCUCUCUCCCCCACUCCUUCAUAUAUAUAUAUAUAUAUAUAUAUAUAUAUAUAUAUAUAUAUAUAUAUAUAUAUACUUUUAUAAGUAUCACCAUCACGGUGCUAUUAGGUUUUAAGCCAUUAGAUCUACUUUUUGAUUAUUAAUAGCCCUUGGAUUAAACACUAUUCCACCUACCACCACCUACUCACCUCGUCUCAUACCUCACAUCUCUUCAUCCAAAGGGCUAAAAACACACAAGUAUCACCCCUAUGAUACUUUUACAAGUAUUCUAGCCCCUCUCUCUCUCUCUCUCUCUCUCUCUCUCUCUCUAUAUAUAUAUAUAUAUAUAUAUAUAUAUAUAUAUAUAUAUAGUUCGGCUACUAUACUAUUAAUAGUAUUAAGCUUUUCAUACUAUCAAGUUAUCUAAUAGUAUUAUACCUAAUAGCAAAAAAUUUGGUAGUAUCAAGUGCUUAAUACUACUGACAGCAUUGUAGCACGACUAUAUACAUAUAAUUGAGUUCUUAUACUUUUAAAAGCAUCCGAGUCAUUGGGUUUGAUAAGUUUUCAGUCAUUGAAUGAAGAUUUGUAGGAUUAGCAUAAUAGUUUUUCCUAAGGAUUGAAUGGAUGGUCGGUGGAAUAGUAUAAUCUAAUGGUGAAAAAUUUAUAAGCACUGAUUGUUUUGUGCUUUUAAUAAUAGAAUCAUUUAACCCCAACAAUUUAUCGAUCAUACCUAGUAUCCAGUCAAAGUCUACCUAGGGAUGUAAAAUGGGUCAUCCGGCCCGGCCCGGCACGGCUACGGGCUUAGGCACAGUACUGUAGAAUUCGUGCCGGGCCAGCCCAACCCAACAUCAUGGGCCGUGCUGGGCCAUUACUACUAAGCCCGUCGGCUCGGCCUUGGGGGUCUUUGGGGAGUUGGUGAGCCCCAAGGCCGGGGGCGGGAGAGAAAAAAUUCUAGAAUGCAACGAGUAUAUUAGUGACGUGGCGUAACAAACCAAUCAAAUGUCUUCUUUUAGAGAUAUAUGUCCCAUCAUGAUUGUAAAAAAAUAUUUUUAUUGUACUUUUGAUUGAAAAGAAGGAAUGUGAUUGACUUGUUAUUGAUGACGUAGUGCAAGUGUGAUAGUGUAGAAUUCCUCGCGGGAGAGGGGGCUGUGCUGGGCCCGGGAACCAUGAAUGUGGCCUGGCAUUGCCCUGCCCAAAAAUUUGGGCCGGGCCAGGUCGACCCGUGGCCCAGUUUGGCCAGAAUGAAUGUGGGCCAUGCCGGUCCCACACGGCCCACAUUACGCCCCCCUAAGUCCACCUAUUUGCUCCACAUAGCUGGCCACCUUUUGCACAAUAAAAAAAUUUUAAAAAAAACCCUAACAACUUCAACCACCCCUUUACUCGGAAGACUCCUUGAGGUCCAAUCAAACACCAACUCUUAAUCUGUGCACCGCACCAUCAACGUACACAAACAGCUCAUCUUGUUAAUAUCAUGCUCUCCUUGAUCACCCUAGAGCACCCUCUACCAACAUGCACCCCAUGUGGAUGGUCUCAAAAACCAAAAACACAUAAUAACUUCAAGCAAACAAACAAACAAACAAAAUGUAAGAAGCCUAAAAAAACAAACACACAGAAUUAAGCCUCAUGAAAGGAGAGAGAUUACGCGGAGAUUACCGCAAACGACGAGUAUAAUAUUGUGCCUAAUGCCCUAGUCCUUUAUAAAAUGAUAGCUUGACCAUUUGUAGAGUGUGAACAACAUUAUUAGUUUAAUACAAAACACCUCCCCGUAAUCAAACUGCCCUUUUCAUUUCACUAGUUUAUAACUUUAUAUAGCUCCAUACGUAUCCCUUACCUUAGUUUUAAUACACUUAUUAUUAUUCUGUGACAGUGAAGAGAGAUCAAAUGACCUCACCAAUGUGGAGACUUGAACAUGAGAAGAGCACAAAUUGCUCCAAAGAUACAUAAAAUUGAAACAAAUAAUUGGACAAAGUCGCGAUUGCGAUUACGUAGAAAUGUUGGUUUCAAAUAGAAGUUAGUAAACAAAAAAAGAAGAGUGAGUUGUGUAUAAGAACAUUCCUCUUUAAGUUGAUAGCUUCAAAUAGAGAAUUAAAGCACACCCUUUUUAGCCCCAGGUAUAAGCUAACAAGCACAUUUAGUUAGAUUGGCAACUUAUUUGAGGCAUUGUGAUGAGAAAUUCCUUUUUGUCAAAACAAUACCUUGAUAUAAACUCAUUAUAGUGUAGAGAGGAAGAUUCUUUAUUAAUUUAUGAGUUGACAUAGAGCAUACAUAGCAAGCUACAUAAAAUAGUAUGGUUUACACAUCAACACCAACCAUUGACCCUGUUAAAUCACCAAUUGCAUUAGGUAUUCACAAUUGUUAGGAUAAAUAAAUAUUUCUAGAAUUCAAUGAUCUCUAGUUGUGUUAGAUAACCAUGAGAAGUAGAAGCAAACUAAUGGAUCACUAAAAUGAUGAUGUGGAUGAGAAAUUGUUCCUUUGUUGGUUAUAGCAAAUUGAUCUACCAUUUGAGAACACAAUGAGAACAAAAUUUCAACUCUAUAUAUAUACACACAAUAAAACAAGCAACAUCAACAAAAUGUUCACACUAAGAUUUAAGCAUGCAUUGUAGCAAAGAGUGGAUAAAACAGAGAUAAGAGAGAGAGAGAGAGUU